GAUGAACGCUGGCGGCGUGCCUAAUACAUGCAAGUCGAGCGAACAGACGAGGAGCUUGCUCCUCUGACGUUAGCGGCGGACGGGUGAGUAACACGUGGAUAACCUACCUAUAAGACUGGGAUAACUUCGGGAAACCGGAGCUAAUACCGGAUAAUAUAUUGAACCGCAUGGUUCAAUAGUGAAAGACGGUUUUGCUGUCACUUAUAGAUGGAUCCGCGCUGCAUUAGCUAGUUGGUAAGGUAACGGCUUACCAAGGCAACGAUGCGUAGCCGACCUGAGAGGGGGAUCGGCCACACUGGAACGGAGACACGGUCCAGACUCCUACGGGAGGCAGCAGUAGGGAAUCGUACGCAAUGGGCGAAAGCAUGACGGAGCAACGCCGCGUGAGUGAUGAAGGUCUUCGGAUCGUAAAACUCUGUUAUUAGGGAAGAACAGAUGUGUAAGUAACUGUGCACGUCUUGACGGUACCUAAUCAGAAAGCCACGGCUAACUACGUG
rnacentral:rRNA from 1 species